AGUGAACGCUGGCGGCAGGCCUAAUACAUGCAAGUCGAACGGCAGCACAGCAGAGCUUGCUCUGUGGGUGGCGAGUGGCGGACGGGUGAGGAAUACAUGGGAAUCUGCCCAGUCGUGGGGGAUAACGUAGGGAAACUUACGCUAAUACCGCAUGCGCCCUUCGGGGGAAAGCCGGGGACCUUCGGGCCUGGCGCGAUUGGAUGAGCCCAUGUCGGAUUAGCUAGUUGGCGGGGUAAAGGCCCACCAAGGCGACGAUCCGUAGCUGGUCUGAGAGGAUGAUCAGCCACACUGGAACUGAGACACGGUCCAGACUCCUACGGGAGGCAGCAGUAGGGAAUAUUGGACAAUGGGCGCAAGCCUGAUUCAGCCAUGCCGCGUGAGUGAAGAAGGCCUUCGGGUUGUAAAGCUCUUUUGUCCGGAAAGAAAAGCAUCCAGUUAAUACCUGGGUGUCCUGACGGUACCGGAAGAAUAAGCACCGGCUAACUUCGUGCCAGCCGCCGCGGUAAGAC
rnacentral:rRNA from 1 species